GUCCAGUCCUGCCAUCUCCAGCGAGUGGUCAUGGCAUCUGCCCGGUAAGCGGAAGGUCGUGGGUUCGAUUCCCAUCCCUUGACA